UUAUGAAGAUGUUGAAACAGCUCUAAUGAUUUUGUACAACCUUGCUCCUUUCUGAGACAUUGAAAGUGUGACCUGAGAGAGGUCUGAUGACUUGCCCAGUAUCACCCAGCUCCAGGCCUAGGACUAGAACUCAGGUUGUAGCUCUCUGUUGAUGAUUUUUCCCCAUUACACCAGUGGCAAAGGAAAGGUAAGAGUCACCAAGGGAGUUAAGGAGUUUUAGGCAUUAGUGUUACAACAUCAAACUAUGUCUUUGUCAAAGGGUAAGCUGCAGAUGUUACAGGAAUGCCAGGUGCAUGCUGUGAAGUUAAGAAGGAUUCCUUCCCUCAUACCAAACUUGUCAUCCUACAGAGUUCCCCUUGGCUUUGGACUUUAUGAAUAGCUUUAUUCACAGAGAGACCUGCAGAAUCGAAAAAAAUGAUACACUAGCAGGUAAAAAAAAAAAAUGCAGAUAGAUACUUCAGUAAAAUGUUUACAUGAAAAAUCUAGAUGACAGGAUACAGUCGGGUUAACAUUCUAAAGUCAACAAAUAUUUGAGUGGCUCCUCUGUACAAGUCACUGUGCUGGGUGCUGAGUGUGUGUGCAUGUGUGUAUGUAUAUGGCUACAUGAGUGAGUGUGAGAGACAGACACACAAGGAUAAGACAGAACCCAGGUCUUCAAGGCUUGCAAUGUAGUUUCUGAUAUAAGACUAUAAACAUCAAAGAAAUGACUAAUAAUAUGGAGUAGGUAAUUGUUAAGUGGCAUAAUGUGUCUGCAGGAGUUCUCAGAAGGGGGGGUUAGAAUUGUCAGGCAAGGUGCUUCUAGAAAGAUAGGGGAUUUGAGGCAAACCUCAAAAGGAAGAAAGGUUCUUGAUAAGAAGGGAGAAAUGGCAAUGAGCAAACAGCGUGGCUUUAAUGUCUGGGGAAGACAAAGAAAUCACACCUUAAAAGAAAGGACCAGAUCAAACUGAAAAGCCUUGAAAGUUAAAGUUCUUACAGAAGUGGAAAGAUGCAAAAAGACUACUAAACAGGGGUGCCUGGCUGACUCAGUCAGUAGAGCAUGCAACUCUUGAUCUUGGGCUUGUGAGUUUGAGUCCCACGUUGGACGUAGGAUUUAUUUUAAAAAAUAGUUUCUGUUAAAAAAAUUUUUUCUAAACAUAGAAUUAUAGGGUUCAGAACAGGUUAAUUUAACAAACAUCUUCUGGGAGGGACCACAGUGUGCAGGCAUGGGAUGAAUGACUGAAGAUUAACUUGCCCUUGGUGGGGAACUAACUUCAGCCUGGGAGGUGGGUUGGACUUCAGAUGAGAAGAGAGUGAAGCAGAGUGGAAGGGACAGGUUAGAAUGACUUGCCAAGGAAGAACCAGCAGGUUCCAGCGGAUGACUGACUAGGAGGCAGAGAAAGUCAGCAGAGACAUCUCCAAAGUAUGAAGUUGGACAACCGCAAGAAUGGAAGAGUAAAGGGAAGCUUGCUGAAGGGAGAGAUGCAGAGCUUGGUUUUGGAAGUGUUGAAUCCAAAGGAUAACUACAUCAGUGUGUCCAGUGGGCAUUUACAGAAGUCAUCCUGUCCACCACACAGACAUCCUUCUCUGCUUCCCCCACGUUUCCCCUCAUCUUCCUUCCCAGUUCCCACAACCCAAGCAACACACCUUCCGUGUCAAAGGAGACAGGAAAUUCCAACUAGAGUUUCCACUUCAUUAAUGACUAUACUAUGCCUGUGGCUCCUCUUACAAAAAGGGAUAUGUGGCAACUGGGUGGAACAGGCGACUGCUUUCUAGCCCCAGCUGCACUGCUAACUAGCUGUGGGACUUUGGACCAGUUCUUCAACCUCUCUGGAUCAGGGCUUCUACACAGACAGGAGGAGAAGGUCCUUGCAACACUCUCAGAGAAGGAAGUGAGUACAAGACCCGGGGAAACGAACGCCAGACCUCUUCCCAGGGCGAAGAGCCAGGAUAGGAGGAGUGUACCAAGAAAGUGAGAAGGCGCUGCCCAGCCCUCGCGGAUCACCAGGGAGCAGAUCCCAUCCCCAAGGCUGGGAAGGAUCCCAACAAACCCGAGCGCAAUUCUCACCCCACACCCCACCUUUUCUAGACUCCCAGACAGCCGGGAAGCUCUAAAAAGCCCUGCGGGAAAAAUAAAGAUUUCUUUCCCAGA